CGAGGACGAACGCUGGCGGCAUGCCUAACACAUGCAAGUCGAACGGAGUUUAAGGAGCUUGCUCUUAAACUUAGUGGCGGACGGGUGAGUAACGCGUGAGCAACUUGCCUCUCGGUGGGGAAUAAUGUACUGAAAAAGGGCACUAAUACCGCAUAACGUAUCGGGACCGCAUGAUUCUGAUACCAAAGAUUUAUCGCCGAGAGAUGGGCUCGCGUCCGAUUAGCCAGUUGGUGGGGUAACGGCCUACCAAAGCGACGAUCGGUAGCCGGACUGAGAGGUUGAACGGCCACAUUGGGACUGAGACACGGCCCAGACUCCUACGGGAGGCAGCAGUGGGGGAUAUUGCGCAAUGGGGGAAACCCUGAACCGCAGCAAUGCCGCGUGGAGGAUGAAGGUCUUCGGAUUGUAAACUCCUUUUGUCAGGGACGAAAAUGACGGUACCUGACGAAUAAGCUCCGGCUAACUACGUGCCAGCCGCGGC
rnacentral:rRNA from 1 species